GCGCGCGCAAUCGCGACAGUAUAUUGGUUGCAUCGCUAGACGGCGAACGCGAAACAUGAUUGUGUGAGCAAGCGGAACGUGUCCUUGACUGCACAAGUCCGCUAUGUCCUACACACCCACCUACCGGACACCGUGAGUCGAAGCGGACCGAAGAAGAACGCACCGCGCACCGCUCCUGCCCGCGGGAUCCGUAUGCGUUCAGCGAGCUCAAUCAAAAACGAGCAACAGAAAACGAGAAAAGAAGAAAAGAGAGGACAGAAAGAGAGAGAAAGGGACAGUCGAGAUAUUCUUGAAAGUGAAAAGCUACUUUUCCACGUGGUUUGUCUCUUCACCUCUAUCAAAGAGGAUAUCUCUUUCUCUCCUUGGGAAGAGGGACGAUUCUUCGACGGCCGCAUUAAUUUCUCGCUUCCGUGGACAGACGACGCGACGGUUCGAAAAGAGAAAGAAGAGUCCCGUCAGCGUGUUACACUGUUCAGCUGUAAUAGUCGGUUGAGUAAGAAGAAAGCGGCCUUGCGCUACUUUCCAUCGUUAGAUAAUAUCGGUAAUACAAUUUUCUCUGGCUUUAUAACUCUCAAUCGUGGAAGAGAAAAGAUGAUUUUACAGGGUAGAUACAGCAGGGUUGGAAAUACUGAAAAAUUUCUGCUGAAUUUACCGGUGAUGUAAACACAGUAAUAUACCGUUGGUUAUGCAGAUGAUCAAUAAGAACUUCUUUUUUACUUUUAGACACAAUUUGUCUUGUUCUAGUCUCGAAUAGCAAAUAAAUUUGUCUCUCUUCUUAUGAAAAUGAGUAGAAUAGUGAUAAUUUUCUUGAAAUGAUGAUGAAAGAGAAAAAAUGAGAUGCCUUUAAAUUAGUGAGAACAGAUGACAGCUCGAUCAGCCAAGAAACAGGAAUAGUUGAAUGACUUCUGACGACGUUCUUCGAUUUCGAUCAGGGUGACCCAAGGAUCAGACACAGGUCUUUCAAAAAACACUCGAGAGACUCAGAAAGAUUAAGAAUCGAGAUACCAUGAGUUCAGUAGGUCAAGGUUGUGGUGAGAGUUUGAGAGUAAUCUGUCCUGCUCUGUUUUGCUCUGGCAACGGUUGACGAAAGAGGAAGAACACGGAGAAAGACGGGCAAAGGAAUCAUGACUGUGGAGGUAUGAGGUAGCCAUGGUAGGGGAACACAGGAUGAAGAGGUAUUCAUUCUACGGCCGUAACACUUUUACGGAUUACAUUUUCGUGUUGCACAACCGCGAUUACACAACCGGCAUUAGAUAAUCGCCGAAUCGUUUUAGACAAACUCGGGGACCGUUAGACGUUUAUAAACGCUAAUAAGUUGCCUGCGGUAGGUUCCUCGUACGGAAGACCUCGGUAAACUCUCUCAGCAAUCCUUGUCAUCUAGGAAGUGAGCUUCCCCGUAAAUAUUUGCUUGAAUGUAGACCGCGUUUUAGUUUUAUCCGAAAGUUCUUGGAAAUGUAUAACCUCUCAAUCUCGAAUGAACAUGCACAAUUUAAGCGUUGUUGUGAGAGAAAUUAAAGAUAUUAUACAUUGAAUUAAAUUCGUAAAUAUUCGUUCCAUAAUUAAAUCUACAAAAUUUCUAAUUGUUAAGAAACUGAAACUUCUUCCAUUAUUGCAAUAAUUGAUGCAAUUCAUGGAAUAUUUUCAUCAUAUUACUAAAUACCUAAUCCUAAUAAAUAAUCUAACCUAACCUAAUAAAUAAAUUUUUUAAUGCUUUCUGAAUAUCAGAUUUAAGCAAAUUAUAAUCAUUGAUAUCUAAAGCGAAUUGGCGACUUUAAUGUUAAAUAUCUAGAUCGAGAUAGCUUUGGACUUUGUCGUGGUUAUCUCAAAAACCACUGCCGCUGACUAUAUGUACUCAAAUGCAUACAUCCAUUUUUCUUCGAGCCAAACCAGGCACAAUCGUUCGCUCUAUAAUGGCGAAUUGAGUCAGUAGGGUCACUCUAACGGGCUAACGGGUCAUGUAAUGGUGCAGCGUGCAUUACGCAUUCAGUGACGCAAUCCUUUGAUCAAGAACCAGCUACUGCCAUUCAUGGUGCGCGAAAGUUCAAACAUCUUAUUGAAUAAUUGGAACAGCAGGUUACUGUCAAACUGUCUUUCGGCUAAAACCUAAUAAUUACCCUUUUGCCCAUGAAAAUCACUAAGAUACGUUUACUGGCAUAAAAGAUGAGUCAAAUGUAGAAAGAGGAACAGAAUGAUCAUCGACAAGGAAACGAAACGAGAUUAACCAUUCUUCAUGAAUGUCGAUACGCGUGUAACGUCUUUCGAUGGUACCAUGCAUACAAUGAUGUAUUACAGCAAGUAGGCAAACGUAACUGUUUUAUUAAACCGUAAGCUGCGUCUUCAUGCGGUCGGUACUUACGUAAU